UUCAUUCUGUAGAUAAUACACGCAUGGACCUGAUAAUCCCUGGGGAACAGUAUUUCUACCUGAAGGCCAGAAGUGUGGCUGAAAGACAGCGGUGGCUGGUGGCCCUGGGAUCAGCCAAGGCUUGCCUGACUGACAGUAGGACCCAGAAGGAGAAAGAGUUUGCUGAAAACACUGAAAACUUGAAAACCAAAAUGUCAGAACUAAGACUCUACUGUGACCUCCUUGUUCAGCAAGUAGAUAAAACAAAAGAAGUGACCACAACUGGUGUGUCCAAUUCUGAGGUAAAGGAGUCUUCCACUCUGGUUGUUUCGUAGGAGGGAAUUGAUGUGGGAACUUUGCUGAAAUCAACCUGUAAUACUUUUCUGAAGACCUUGGAAGAAUGCAUGCAGAUCGCAAAUGCAGCCUUCACCUCUGAGCUGCUCUACCGCACUCCACCAGGAUCACCUCAGCUGGCCAUGCUCAAGUCCAGCAAGGUAAAAGUCCAGCUCAGUUUGGCUGCAACAAGGCAUCAUGAAAAGUUUCAAAGUUUAUAAUGAAACAUCCUAUUAUACCAAUUCAUAAUUCAUUGGAAAGGUACAGUAGCUUUUUUCUUCUUGCUAAAAAUUAAAAAAAAAUAAGGAUAUUGUUAUUCCUUGUUUAAAAAAAGAUACUUUGAUCUUGUAAUGGUUUUUCUCAGGAUUUGAAAUAAUAUGGAAGUAAACAAUAUCUGACUUUCCUCUUUUGAGUUAGCCUGAAUCAACCCAGAGCAGACCUUUUAUUUAGCACUAAUAGGGAAGAUGUUGGCAUUUUCCCUAAGAUGGAUCUCACCCAUCACAUCUAGUAACUUUUAAUCUCUCUAGGGUGUACUGAAGGUAGAAACUUCUCUUGUAGAAGAAACUUCUCUCU
rnacentral:sRNA from 1 species